rnacentral:lncRNA from 1 species
CCCUGCUCCUGCGUGCUCUGAGCAAGGGUCCUGUCCAUCUCGUGGCUUCUGCGACCCAGUUGACUUCACAUCCGCGAUCGUGAGCCGGGGCGUGUGAAGGAUGCCAAGGUUUAGAGUGCUCGAGCCGGAUCUCAGCAGCCUGAGGUUCCCUUUCCCCAGCCUCCACCUUUUGAUUCAAAGGGAUGAAGUUGCUUCUCAACUACUUUCCUGUCCCAGUUCUCCGGACUCACUCCUACCCUUCUGGCCAAGGUGGACUGAAGAAACAGGAAGCCUGCGUCACAUGCCCUUACAGUGAUGAUGGUUUGUAAUUGGCCAGAAAUGAACCAGGAUUGUGUUGACAUGCCACUCACUGCUUGAAAUGUAAAUCCCUGGCUUGGAGUCUGACAAAUGUUAUAAAAUCUCUGAUAUUUGAUCGCCAAAUAUCAUAAAUUAUUCCACAUUGAGAGCUACACUUACAGUUACUGAGAUACAAUGAAGAAAAUGCCAAGAUGGGCUUGGCGAUAAGGAUUAUUACGAUUACCUUAACCGGAAUAGUAUUCAAGAGUCUGCUUUGAAAAGGGGUGAAUAGUGUCAACAGAAACGUUACAAUCCGGUCAGAUGUGUGUUGGAAGUUCUGGACUCUGGGGAAGAACAGUUCUACCAGAGAAACAGAAACAGAUCAGGCUGCCCACAAAGCCCCUCGCCUGGAUAGGUUAGAGGUCUCCAGACCCUCCAGCUCUCAAGCAUACAUUGCACCCUAUGAGCAUCCUGCCUGGACAAGUCCCUGCUGCAUGUUCUGCUGAACCUGGCUCACCUCUGCUGGCCAGGCCCUGUCUCCCAAGUAAUCCAGAAGAUCAGCUACAGCUGCUCCAUCCACGAAUCAACACAGGCUCUCCAGCCAUGCAGUCAAGCCAAGGCCUUCAGUGCAAGGGAAAUGCUAAGCGCCUUAACAAAAGCUCACUCACUGAAAGUAUAUAGACACUCAUGGAAAGAAAAGGCUGUUAGGACCAAGAUAGCUUCAAGUAAAGAGGAACGGCAGCAUCGGGUGUGUUCACCUCACUCUGCUGUAACAAAGGCGAUGGUCUUCUUGUGAUCCAUGCUUGUCAUGCUUGGACUUUUGUGCAACAGUUAAUGGGGUGAUUAUCAGAGCAGGUCCACCAUGACUGCCAAAAUGACCAAUGAUUUACAUUUUCAUGAAAUCCCUAGUCAGGACAUAACAUAUGGUGUUAUUCUGGAUGAAAUUUGCAAAGGAAUGAAAAUGUAAAGACAAUGAUAUUAAAUAUAAACAAACAGGAUCUGUACAUGUAUAGCUAGGUGUCUUGAUUUGUCUCUUAUGGAAGAGAACAAUUUAAGGACUGAAUUACACGACACCAUUUCAUCUCCUUGUGGUCAACGAAGAAGCUGUAAAUUAUACUGAAGACCAAGAGGGUGCCACAGCCAUGCUCUAUCUACUGAUGAGAUUUUAAGUUCAGUUUAUAGUUUAUUACCUUCUUUGUUUACCUUGGUAUUUAUAAUUGUAAAAUUACAUUAUAAAAUACAUUCACAUAAUUCAAUACUUUUGUCUACUGUGGGCUCCCUAUCUGGGCCAACUUCAGUGGAAUCACAGGCCCAAGGGAACUUUAAAUUAUAGCAUGGGAUCAGAAGGCAGGACUUGAAAGACAAACUGAGAAUGAGCUGAAGGCUGGAG